rnacentral:lncRNA from 1 species
GAGUGAGGUUCUUUUUUAUAAAAAAAAAAAAAUUAUUUGCAUAUACGUCCCUACAAAUAUAGUGAAUUACAAAUAUAUUCCUGCAAAACGGAAACUCUAUAAGUUAUUCCUGAAAAAACCACAAGUUAUGCAGAUAUGUCCCUACUGUUAGAGUCUGUUAGAAAAUUUUCGUUAACCAUGAUUAAAAUACUUAAUCAUGAUUAAUUAUAAUGUGAAUUUACAGUUCUACCCUUCUUCCUCUUCCUCCUCCUCCUCUCCUCUUCUCUCUUCUUCGUCGCCGGCGAGGGAGAUGCGGCGGCGGCAACGGCGGCGGACCCUCUCCCUCUUCCUCUCCCUCCUCUCCCCCCUUCUUCUUUCUCUUCCUCUUCCUCUUCCCUCUUCUUCAUAGCCAGCGAGGGAGAACAUGCGACUACGACGGCGACGGCGAACCCUCUCCCUCUCCCUCUUUCUCUUCUUCUUCAUCUUCCCUCUUCUUCUUCCUCUCUUUCUUUUUCUUCCCUCUUCUUCGUCGCCGGCGAGUCUCACCCGCGCCAUCACCGCCGUCGGCUCCGGCGGCCCGAAGAGAAAGAGAAAGAGAAGAGGGAAGAGGAAUAUUUUUAGAGGGAAAUAUUUGUGAGCGUAAAAAUGUCAUUUUACAAAUUCGCUGUUAAAAAGUUAACAGUUCACUAACGGAUGUUAACCAGAGAGACAUAUCUGCAUAACUUAGGACUUUUGUAGGGACAACUUAUGGAGUUUUCGUUUUGCAGGAAUAUAUCUGCAAUUCACUAUGUUUGCUGAGACGUGUAUGCAAAUAACCCAAAAAAAAUUACCUAUAUAUCGCUCAAAACUUCGAAAAUAUUUUAUUUAUUUGUUUAUUCUUUUUAAUUUACCACUCAUAUAUUUCUUCGUUAUUUCAAAAUAUCUCUAUAAUUACCAUCCGUUAAGUUAACUUGGUUAAACGUGAGUUAAAUAUUUAUUACAAUUUAAAAAUUAAAAUAUCUCUUUUACUCUUAACUUAAGAGCAGGCAAAUAAGAAAAGUAGAUGAUGGUAGAAGGGUAUAUUUAAAAGAUCAAAAAUCAAAACAUUUUUGUGCCCCUAACUUAAGGGCAAAUAAGAAAAAUCCGUGACGAUAGAAGGGUAUAUUUGAAAAAAAAUAAUAAUAAUUUUAUACAGAUAACAGUUAUUGUUAACAGUUUAUUAAUAGGAUUUAACUCUAUGGAUGUAUUUGAAAUAGAUUGAAAUGUAAAAAAAAUAUUUUUUAAUAUUUUAAUUAGUUUUCUAAAAAGGAUAAAUCAAAAAGUUGAAAAUUUUUAAGAGAUAUACAAGCAAUAUUCUUUUGGUUCUCAAACUAUGUAAGUGUCUAACGCUUUAGACUUCAAAUUUAAUUACAAUAAUUUUUAAUUUAAAAUUUUAAAUUAUUAUAAUUAAGUUAUAAUUCAAUUUAGUUAACUAAAUUUUAACAAUAUAUUUGUAAAAAUAACAUAACAUCUUAAUUAUUAUCGUAUCAUCAAUAACAAAUUUUUGCCGCAUCAUU